rnacentral:rRNA from 1 species
CCUACGGGAGGCAGCAGUGGGGAAUAUUGGACAAUGGGGGUAACCCUGAUCCAGCGACGCCGCGUGAGUGAAGAAGUAUUUCUGUACGUAAAGCUCUAUCAGCAGGAAAGAAAAUGACGCUACCUGACUAAGAAUCCCCGGCUAACUACGUGCCAGCAGCCGAGGUAAUACGUAGGUGGCAAGCGUUAUCCGGAUUUACUGGGUGUAAAGGGAGCGUAGACGGCAGCGCAAGUCUGGAGUGAAAUGCCGGGGCCCAACCCCGGAACUGCUCUGGAAACUGUGAAGCUGGAGUGCGGGAGAGGUAAGCGGAAUUCCUGGUGGAGCGGUGAAAUGCGGAGAUAGCAGGAGGAACACCGGCGGCGAAGGCGGCUUACUGGACUGUAACUGACGUUGAGGCUCGAAGGCGUGGGGAGCAAACAGGAUUAGAUACCCUUGUAGUC